rnacentral:rRNA from 1 species
GACGAACGCUGGCGGCGUGCUUAACACAUGCAAGUCGAACGGAAAGGCCCUGCUUUUGUGGGGUGCUCGAGUGGCGAACGGGUGAGUAACACGUGAGUAACCUGCCCUUGACUUUGGGAUAACUUCAGGAAACUGGGGCUAAUACCGGAUAGGAGCUCCUGCUGCAUGGUGGGGGUUGGAAAGUUUCGGCGGUUGGGGAUGGACUCGCGGCUUAGCAGCUUGUUGGUGGAGUAGUGGCUUACCAAGGCUUUGACGGGUAGCCGGCCUGAGAGGGUGACCGGCCACAUUGGGACUGAGAUACGGCCCAGACGCCUACGGGAGGCAGCAGUGGGGAAUAUUGCACAAUGGGCGGAAGCCUGAUGCAGCAACGCCGGGUGCGGGAUGACGGCCUUCGGGUGGUAAACCGCUUUCGCCUGUGACGAAGCGUGAGUGACGGUAAUGGGUAAAGAAGCACCGGCUAACUACGUG